UACGGAGGGUGCAAGCGUUAUUCGGAAUUACUGGGCGUAAAGCGCACGCAGGUGGCUGAGUAAGUCGAUUGUGAAAGCCCUGGGCUUAACCUGGGAAUUGCAGUCGAUACUACUCGGCUCGAGUAUGGGAGAGGGCAGUGGAAUUCCCGGUGUAGCGGUGAAAUGCGUAGAUAUCGGGAGGAACAUCAGUGGCGAAGGCGGCUGCCUGGCCCAAUACUGACACUCAGGUGCGACAGCGUGGGGAGCAAACAGG
rnacentral:rRNA from 1 species